rnacentral:lncRNA from 1 species
GUUCAAUAAAACAUUACCAAAUGCUUGAAAAGCUUGGAUUAAAGCAAAUGUAAAAUGUAUAACUUUGUAACAAUGUUUGUAAAUGUAUUCUUUACUAUGAACGUGUGAACAAGGGUUAUUAAAACAGACAAGACAAUUAGGAGGAAUGUUAACAUAUGGCAGAAAAAUAUGGAAUUGUCAGUCUGAAUUAUGGGAAAAUGACUAAGCAAAGGAAGAAACACUGAGUCAUUCUAGUUGGCAUCUAGCCAAAACAGGUGACGUGCCUGCACAUACGCAACACUCAAUUUGCUGAGUAAGUGUUGCAUCAUAUACAGGUAUAUAGGUAGGUAGUUAACAAACCUAUGUUGUUGGGUUAUUCAUGGAGAAGCAGUGUGUUACUUUGUCAGUCAGCAUCUUGGAGUAUUGGACUGGAAUGGACUGUGAUUGCUAUUUUCUGCACUGCCGAUUCUGAAGAGAGUAUGCAGUAAAUUCUGUAAUUUAUUAUGGCAGUAUUUCUAAGACACAGCAAGUUCGUCAUUUCACUCACCUGCAAAUGAUCAUUCAGAGGAUGAAAGACCUCAGAGAUAUGGUAUGGUUUGCUGUAACAAAUGGUGUUCAGGAGCUGAACAUAAAUCAUGUUUUUAGGCUGAAAAAUGCUCAGCAGUGAAUUUAUACAUCAUAUAUCCCGAAGUGGACAGAAUGUUGUUGUCACAUACCAUGACUUGAGGUCUGCACACAGAAUAUUUUACCAUCAAACCCUUUACACAGUUUCUUGAAAUGAAGUGAUAAUUUUUGUGGGCCAGCAACAUACUUGGCGCAGGUAUCCCCAGUGAAAGGACAAGAUGUGGCUGAAGAAGUCCAUGGCAAAGCCUGAAAGGCACAGGAGGAAACUUCACAUUAUAGGCGGAUGUGCGUGUACUGAUAUUUCCAUGGACUUUUUUUUUUAAAAAAAGGAAGAAAAGAAACUUCAGGUACUAGGAAUUUGUAAUAGCUUUGAAAUUUCUUUCUCCACCCAAGGUUGUUGUUCUCCAACCACACCACUGGAUGGUUUUUUUUAAAAGAAGGAUUACUAAGAGUUAGAUUUCAAGGUAAGACACAUGCUUUUGCAAACUACCAAACAGAGAUGUUCAGAUGUUCUUUUGAAAAUGUUGACAGUUCAAAAACCUUUCGCAUACUGUUAGCCACCCCACAAACAGUAAUUUAAAAAAAAAAAAGAUGGACAUUUUCAAAAGGGCUGAAGAGGCUUCUCAACUGACUAUGGCAAGAGCUGAUAUUUGAAUGAA